rnacentral:rRNA from 1 species
GACGAACGCUGGCGGCGUGCCUAAUACAUGCAAGUCGAGCGAAGUUUUUCUGGUGCUUGCACUAGAAAAACUUAGCGGCGAACGGGUGAGUAACACGUAAAGAACCUGCCUCAUAGACUGGGACAACUAUUGGAAACGAUAGCUAAUACCGGAUAACAGCAUUAACUGCAUGGUUGAUGUUUAAAAGUUGGUUUUGCUAACACUAUGAGAUGGCUUUGCGGUGCAUUAGCUAGUUGGUGGGGUAAAGGCCUACCAAGGCGACGAUGCAUAGCCGACCUGAGAGGGUGAUCGGCCACACUGGGACUGAGACACGGCCCAGACUCCUACGGGAGGCAGCAGUAGGGAAUCUUCCGCAAUGGGCGAAAGCCUGACGGAGCAACGCCGCGUGAGUGAAGAAGGAUUUCGGUUCGUAAAGCUCUGUUGUUAGGGAAGAAUGAUUGUGUAGUAACUAUACACAGUAGAGACGGUACCUAACCAGAAAGCCACGGCUAACUACGUGCCAGCAGCCGCGGUAAUACGUAGGUGGCAAGCGUUGUCCGGAAUUAUUGGGCGUAAAGCGCGCGCAGGUGGUUUAAUAAGUCUGAUGUGAAAGCCCACGGCUCAACCGUGGAGGGUCAUUGGAAACUGCUAAACUUGAGUGCAGGAGAGAAAAGUGGAAUUCCUAGUGUAGCGGUGAAAUGCGUAGAGAUUAGGAGGAACACCAGUGGCGAAGGCGGCUUUUUGGCCUGUAACUGACACUGAGGCGCGAAAGCGUGGGGAGCAAACAGG